ACACAAAACAUUCCACACAACAAUGGCCUAUGCCCUGCUAGCCACAGGCUCCUACUCCUGUGCCCAACAUGUCAUCUUCUUGGCCAGGUCUGCAAAGGUUGCCCUACCAUCAACCAGGAUCAGUGAACAGAUUUGUGUCUUUCAGAAACUGCCACACAGCCAAGAAAGAACACCCAGAAAGGAACAAGAUCAUGAAGCACAUAAAAAACAAAACAAAACAAAACACUGACUGCAGUUGCCACCCAUAGUGCUCUGCCUGUCUACACGGCUGGGAGAAUCCAGGUACAAGAGGUCGCCCAGGUAUCUCGCUUCUACCAAGUUUCCUAGUUUGGAAGAGAGUCCUUGGGAAACAACAACAGCCCUUCAGUCUUUAUUCUUUCAUUUUACAAUAUUUUCUGCUGUUCUGUUUCUAAUAAAAAGUCAGCACACAA